AAGUCGUAACAAGGUCUCCGUAGGUGAACCUGCGGAGGGAUCAUUAACGACCGGCCCCCUUUGGGGCCUUCAACCCCAAAAACCGUGGAAGCGACCCGUGCUUCGACGCCUCCCCUGGCGUCGUAUUUAUGCAACCGACCUGUCUGUGUCUGAAUGAAACCUAAGAUUAAAACUUUCAACAAAGGAUCUCUUGGCUCUC
rnacentral:misc_RNA from 1 species